UGCAAGUCGAGCGGUAGCACAGAGAAGCUUGCUUCUUGGGUGACGAGCGGCGGACGGGUGAGUAAUGCAUAGGAAUCUGCCCGAUAGUGGGGGAUAACCUGGGGAAACCCAGGCUAAUACCGCAUACGUCCUACGGGAGAAAGGGGGCUCCGGCUCCCGCUAUGGGAUGAGCCUAUGUCGGAUUAGCUAGUUGGUGAGGUAAAGGCUCACCAAGGCAACGAUCCGUAGCUGGUCUGAGAGGAUGAUCAGCCACAUCGGGACUGAGACACGGCCCGAACUCCUACGGGAGGCAGCAGUGGGGAAUAUUGGACAAUGGGCGCAAGCCUGAUCCAGCCAUGCCGCGUGUGUGAAGAAGGCCCUCGGGUUGUAAAGCACUUUCAGCGAGGAAGAACGCCUAGCGGUUAAUACCCGCUAGGAAAGACAUCACUCGCAGAAAAAGCACCGGCGAACUCCGUGCCAGCAGCCGCGGUAAUACGGAGGGUGCAAGCGUUAAUCGGAAUUACUGGGCGUAAAGCGCGCGUAGGUGGCUUGAUAAGCCGGUUGUGAAAGCCCCGGGCUCAACCUGGGAACGGCAUCCGGAACUGUCAAGCUAGAGUGCAGGAGAGGAAGGUAGAAUUCCCGGUGUAGCGGUGAAAUGCGUACAGAUCGGGAGGAAUACCAGUGGCGAAGGCGGCCUUCUGGACUGACACUGACACUGAGGUGCGAAAGCGUGGGUAGCAAACAGGAUUAGAUACCCUGGUAGUCCACGCCGUAAACGAUGUCGACCAGCCGUUGGGUGCCUAGCGCACUUUGUGGCGAAGUUAACGCGAUAAGUCGACCGCCUGGGGAGUACGGCCGCAAGGUUAAAACUCAAAUGAAUUGACAGGGGCCCGCACAAGCGGUG
rnacentral:rRNA from 1 species